AUGGCGGAAACCGGAAAGCCAGCAACGAGUAGGUA
rnacentral:ncRNA from 1 species